rnacentral:rRNA from 1 species
AGAAUCAACGCUGGCGGCGUGCCUAACACAUGCAAGUCGAACGAGAAAGGGAUUUCGGUCCUGAGUAUAGUGGCGCACGGGUGAGUAACACGUGAAUAAUCUACCUCCGAGUGGGGAAUAACUGAAGAGAAAUCUUAGCUAAUACCGCAUAACACUUACGAGUCAAAGCAGCAAUGCGCUUGGAGAGGAGUUCGCGGCCGAUUAGUUAGUUGGCGGGGUAAUGGCCCACCAAGACGAUGAUCGGUA